UACGUAGGGUGCGAGCGUUAAUCGGAAUUACUGGGCGUAAAGCGUGCGCAGGCGGCUUCUCAAGUCAGGGGUGAAAGCCCAGAGCUCAACUCUGGAACUGCCUUUGAGACUGAGAGGCUUGAGUACGGGAGAGGUGAGUGGAAUUCCCAGUGUAGAGGUGAAAUUCGUAGAUAUUGGGAAGAACACCGGUGGCGAAGGCGGCUCACUGGCCCGUAACUGACGCUCAUGCACGACAGCGUGGGGAUCAAACAGG
rnacentral:rRNA from 1 species